UUCUUUUAAUUACUUACGCACAUGUUUAUUGAAACUUUUGCACUCGUAACCUCGAGCUUUCCUUCAGUUUCUUAUAUCUGUUUGGGUUAAUUGCCUGCAUAUCAUUCUGAAAUUCAUAAUAUCACAUAUGUCCUGGAUAUUAGAUUAGUUUUAAUUAAACUCUGGAUUUUCAGAGUUAACCUGUUUAUUAGGUGUUUAAUUAGGUGUUCAUUAAUCUGUUUAUUAAUUCCUUUACUCCCCCCUCAAGCCUUGGAAUAGAUAUUGAGUAUUCCAAGCUUGAAAAGGGAAUUAGUAAUCUCUUUAUCACCUAAUGCUUUAGUUAAAAAAUCUGCUAAUUGGAACUUGGUUCCUAUUUGCUUUAUGAAUAUUUUUCUUUGAUUUAUCAUUUCUCUUAUGAAAUGACAGUCUAUUUCUAUAUGUUUCGUUCUUUCAUGAAAAACAGGGUUAUUUGCCAGAUAAAUGGCAGAUUUGUUAUCACAGAAGAGCUCUGUUGGUUUUUUAAUUUUGAUUCUCAAUUCAUCCAUUAAUUGAUGAAUCCAUGUAAUUUCACAUGUUGUCUGAGCUAUUGCUCUAUAUUCAGCUUCACAUGAUGACCUUGCAACUGUGGCCUGUUUUUUAGUUUUCCAUGAGAUUAAUGAAUCUCCCAACAUUAAGCAAAACCCUGUCAAUGAUUUUCUACUCACUUGACAUGAUGCCCAAUCAGCAUCACAAUAACCUUGCAAGGUCAUAUUUUCAUUCCUAUUAUAUAUUAGACCUUGUCCAGGUGCAUUUUUAAUGUAUCUUAUUAGCUUGAAUAAUACCUGUAAAUGUACUUCUUUUGGCUCUUGCAUGAAUUGGCUUAGCCAAUUCACUGGGAAGCUAAUAUCUGGUCUAGUUAUAUUCAGGUAUAUUAGUUUUCCUACUAUUUUCCUAUAAAAAGUUGGGUUUUGAAUUAACUGAGAUUUGUCAUUUUUAAGGUCUACAUGCCUUUCCAUGGGUAUUAUUAUGGAUGGUUUUGCUCCUGAAAGCCCACAUUCCUCUAGGAUACCUAAAGCAUACUUCCUUUGUGAAAGGUAUAUACCUUUGCUAGAAUAUGAGACUUCAAUUCCUAGAAAGUAAUUCAAUCUUCCUAGAUCUUUCAGUUUAAACUGAUUUUCUAAUUGGAUUUUAAUAAUUCCAAUUUCUAGUUCAUUACUUCCUGUUAUUAUAAUAUCAUCCACAUAAACUAAAAGAUAUAUCAUGUUCUGAUUUUUCUCUCUUGUGAAUAAAGAGUAAUCUGAUUUAGUUUGAUUAAAACCAAUAUUCAAAAGUACACCCUUUAGUUUUUCAAACCAUUUUCUUGAGGCUUGUUUUAAGCCAUAUAAUGAUUUGUUUAAUUUACACACCCUUUUAUCUCCUUCUUUUAGAAGGCCUUGAGGUGGUUUUAAAUAUACUUCUUCAUCUAAAUCACCAUGAAGAAAAGCAUGUUUACAUCCAAUUGGUAUAAAUUCCAAUUUUUCUUGGCUGCUAUAGCUAUAAUAGUUUUGACUGUGACUAUUUUGACCACUGGUGCAAAAGUCUCAAAAAAAUCAAAUCCUUCUUUUUGAGUAAAGCCUUUGGCUACUAGCCUUGCUUUGUAUCUUUCUAUAUCACCAUUUGGUCUAUAUUUUAUUUUGUAAAUCCAUUUUGGACCUAUGGAUUUCCUAUCUUUUGGAAGUAAAGCAAGAGUCCAAGUAUCAUUUUCUAUGAGAGCUUUCAUUUCUUUUUGCAUUGCUUCAACCCAUUUUUGAUAUUUUGAAGCUUCAUCAAAAGAAUUAGGCUCAUCAUGAAUUGUUAUUUGUUUUAAAAAAUAUUUUUGUUGUUUGCUUGCCCUAUGAUAUGAAACAUGAUUGCUCAUAGGAUGUUUUGACUCAUGAAAUUCUUUUUCAUUUUCAAGGUAAUAAUCUUGAAAUUGCUUUGAUUUAGUUAUUUUCCUACCAUAUAGACUAAUUUUAUCCUUUAAAUUUGAAUUUAUUUGUUUUGAGCUAUUUUCUGUUUCAUUUGAACAGUUGUCCAGAGCAUUUGUGUUUUGUAAUUCAGAAAUGCUCCUUGAGCUAUUUAUUGACUUGGUUAGGUCAUUUUCUAUGAUAUUUCUAUUGGCAGCUUCAGAGAUAGUUCUUGAGCUAUCAUUUGAUGCAAUUUUAAUAGAUUCAGAUUCAUUUUCUGCUUGGUUAAAACAACUGUCCAGAGCAUUUCCAUUUUGAUUUUUAGAAAAACUCCUUGAGUUGCUGCCUGACUUUCUUAAGUCAUUUUCUGAAUUGACCUCUUUGCCAAUUGUUUGUAUACUGUCAUCCAGAUUCUCUGGGCUAUUAUCUGAAUUUAAAUUGCUGUUUGGACAUAAAAAUUGAGUAUCCAGAGCAUUUUUAUGAGCUAGCUCAGAAUUUAUUCCUUCUGAGCUAGUUUCUGAAUUUAAAUUGCUGUUUGGACAUGAGAUCUGAGUGUCCAGAGCAUUUUUAUGAGCUAGCUCAGAUUUUAUUCUUUCUGAGCUAGUUUCUAGAUUUUCUUCUAAACAUCUGUCCAGGGUAUUACUUGGACUGUUUUGAAGGUUAUUUUUAUAAAAAAUAUCAGAUUUCCUCUUUUUUAAAUUCCUGCCUAAUUGGCCUGAACUAUCACUCAGAUUGCCACUAAAAUUCUUUUGAACCUCAUGACUUGAGUUCUGAGUAUGUUCAAUACCUUUUUGGCUUAUUUGGGAAUUAAGAAACAUAUUUUCUUUAUUUUUGAGGUUAUCUGAACUUUUAUGAUUUUCUUGAUUAUUUUCAAGUGUCUUAUGUUUUUUCUUAGCAUCUGAAUGUAUAGAUAUUAUAUCCUCAUUUUGUUCAGGUAUAGCUGAAUUUUUAUUGUUAGAAUCCAAUAUCUUUGUUUUUUCAGAGAUUUGGAAUUCUAAUUUUUUAUUUUGAAGAUUUCCAUUUUCAGAUGCUAUUAAAUUUUUAUAAUUGCUUCUGGAUUCAUAAUGUUGAUAUAUAAGUUUAUUAUAUAUAUCUUCAUGUGAUGUUAUAUCUUGUUUUGAAGAUAAGCAAUUAUUAUCCUUGAAAGGAAAAAUUGUUUCUCUAAAGGUUAUAUUUCUAGAAAUAUGAAAUUUCUUAGUUUCUAUAUCUAAGAUUAGAUAGCCUUUUGUAUUGGGGGGAUAACCCAUGAAAAUUCCUCUAAAGGUUCUAGGAGAGAAUUUAUGUUCUCUUAUGUUGGUUGUUGCAUAACAUAGACAACCAAAAAUUUUCAUUGAUUCAUAGAUUGGUAUUUUAUUGUUUAGUAUUUCAUAUGGAGUUUUGUUUUUUAAAACUUUAGAAGGUAUCCUAUUUAUUAUAUAUGUGGCUGUUAAGAUACAUUCACCCCAAUAUAUUAGAGGAAUACCACCUUGAAAAUGUAAAGAUCUAGCCACUUCUAAUAAGUGUCUAUGUUUUCUCUCAACUAUGGCAUUUUGUUGAGGUGUAUAUGGGCAUGUGAAUUGAUGAAUUAUUCCAUAUGCCUCUAUUAACUUAGUGAAGUGAUUUGAGGUGAAUUCUCCUCCAUUAUCACUUCUAAUAGUUUUAAUAUUUUUUCCAAAAAUGUUUUUGAUUUUGAUUAGGAAAUUUUCUAUACAUUUUAUAGCCAUAUUCUUUGAUUUUAGUAGAAAAGUCCAAGUGACUCUACUAAAAUCAUCAACUAUUGUUAAGAAAAAACAAAAACCAUCAUGAGUUGUUAUUGGGAAUUUGCCCCAAAUAUCAAUAUGUAUAAUAUCAAAAAUUGAAUUUGUUUUUGAUGUACUCUUUUGGUACUUUAACUUAGUUUGUUUUGCAAGAGGGCAAAUAUCACAAGAAUAUUUUAUUUUUGAAAGAUUUUUAUUUAAUUUUGAAAAACAAUCAUUCAAAACAGUACUAUUAUCAUCUAUUUUACAAUUUUCAGAAUUUAAAAGACUAUGUUUAACAUCUAUGCUUUGAGCCUUGAUGAGUAUCCUCAUUUUCUCUGUUGAGAUGUGUCCUAGCCUUUUAUGCCAAUUCUCAAUUUCUAUGGAUGAGUUUGCAAGAUCAUGUGAUUUUGGCUUAAGUAUGUAAAGUCCACUCUUAGACUCACCCUGCCCAAUCACUCUCUCUGACUUGCUUUCCUGAAAAUUACAUCCAUAUUUAGAGAAAAUUAGGUUUAAAUUUGAAUGAUAUGUCAAUCUAUUUACUGAAAUUAGAUUGACUUUGAAUUGUGGUAUAUAUAGUACAUCUUUCAAAAUUAAAUCUUUUGAAAGAGUUAUAUCUCCCAUAGCUUUUACUUUGCAUUUUUUUCCACUAGGAAUAGUCACAUAGUGAUCAAAUUCCUCUUUUGGAGUGUUAUCAAAAAAUUCAAGGUUCCCAGUCAUAUGCUGAGAAGCCCCAGUAUCUAUUAUCCACAUAUUUUUGUAAUUUAAAGUAUUAAAGGAGAAAGACAUACCAGUAGAUUUGCUUAAGAGAUCCUUAAGCAACAGUAAUUCCUCACUGCUUAAUUCAGUUGAGAGAUUUGCUUGAUUAGCCAGAUCUUUAGGCUUCUUCUGAUGGUCUUUCUUUUUAUUUGGGAACCCUACUAUGUGAUAACAAUUCUCUCUAAUAUGCCCAAAAAACUUACAGUUAUCACAGUAGAAUUUGGUAUCCAAUUUCUUGCCAUUUUUCCCAUAUAUUCCUUUUUUCUUAUUUUCUUCCUUCUUUUCUUCCUUUUUGGCAAACAUAGAUGAAGAAUUAACUCCUAAUUUUUCUUUAAAAUUUGAUUUCUGUUUUUCCUCUUGAAUUACUAAGGAAAAGACUUGAUUCAUAUAGGGUAAUUCUGAAUAUGCCAAGAUUUGACUUCUUAAGGUCAUAAAAUCUUCAUUUAGACCUAGCAAGAAUUGGUGUGUUCUAUCUUUUUCUAUCUUUUUAGAAUAGAUUGGGGCACAUGCUAUACAGAAUUUGCAUUCAGGUUUCUCUAUCUCUAUGUAUUGAUCCCAUAGAGAUUUAAACUUAUCAAAAUAAACAGAAAUGCUAUCACUAGAUUGAGUUAAUGUAUUAAUUUCAUACCUCAAUUGGCUAGUCUUAGGUGCAUUUUUUUGCUUAUACCUUUCUUGAAGCUCUACCCAAGCUUCAUAUGCUGUUUCUGUGUGUAUUAAUGUUGAAGCUAUCUGAGGGCAGACUCCAUUUAUGAUCCAGGACAAGACAAGGCCAUUGACCAUCUCCCAAUCUUCAAAAUCUUCACUUGACUCAUCUAUAGGCUUUUUUAUCUUCCCAUUGAUGAAUGCUGUCUUCUUUCUGGAAACUAGGGAUAAUUUCAUGGAAUUGGCCCAAGAAACGUAAUUUGCUUCCCCAGUUAAUUUGUCAGACACCAUCUGGGCACCUGGAUGGUCACCAGCAGAUAGAAAAUAGGGUGAUUUUCUAGAAAUGUGAUUCCUUUUCUUCUUGUUCUGAAUUCUUUUCUUUUUACUUGCAUUUCUUCUUCUUUUCCUCCUGAAGAAGCUAUCACUUCUUUCUGAAUUGGAGCUUGAUGAGGUCGUCGUCCAAACUUCAGAGUUUCUUGAGGAAUCUGUUGCCUCAAUACUCUGUCCAGAGUUGGCUUGUGCGGAAAAUUGGGUGUUUGGAUCGAUGUGUGCGUCGUUUCCAACUGAUGAUACCAUAUUAAAGCGACGACUCGCUCUUGGAGGAGAGUUGGCCGGAGUAGGGCCGGCAGUAGCUACGGCAAUCGCCGGCAGCACCAUCACAAAGGGAGGGAAAUCAAGUAGCCGUUGAAGAGAUUGAACCAGCUUAGACCGGUCUCUAUGAACCGGGUUUAACUGGAAAGUAAUUGUAUUUUUAUUGAGUUAUUAAUGUUUACAAAGUGAUUGUUUUAUAUCUUAAUUACAUCAACUAAUUAACUAACAUUCUAACUAAUCAAUACAAUUAAUUUGUUAUAAACAAUUGAAACAUUUGCAGCAACAACCCCAAACUUUCUUUUAAUCACAAACGUGUUUAUUGAAACUUUUGCGUUUGUAACCUCGAGCUUUCCUUCAAUUACUUACGCACAUGUUUAUUGAAACUUUUGCACUCGUAACCUCGAGCUUUCCUUCAAUUACUAACGCACAUGUUUAUUGAAACUUUUGCACUUGCUACCUCGAGCUUUUCUUUAAUUACUAACGCACAUGUUUAUUGAAACUUUUGCACAUACAUCCUUAAGUUUCUUAUAUCCGUUUGGGUUAAUUGCCUGCAUAUUAUUCUGAAACUCAUAAUAUCACAUAUGUCCUGGAUAUCAGAUUAAUUAGUUUUAAUUAAACUCUGGAUUUUCAGAGUUAACCUCUGUCUAGUCUAAUUAACUAAUUAGGUGUUUAUUAAUCUGUUUAUUAAUUCC
rnacentral:lncRNA from 1 species